GAACACCAGUGGCGAAGGCGACUUUCUGGACUGUAACUGACGCUGAGGUACGAAAGCGUGGGUAGCGAACAGGAUUAGAUACCCUGGUAGUCCACGCCGUAAACGAUGGAUACUAGGUGUAGGGGGUAUCGACCCCCCCUGUGCCGGAGUUAACGCAAUAAGUAUCCCGCCUGGGGAGUACGGUCGCAAGACUGAAACUCAAAGGAAUUGACGGGGGCCCGCACAAGCAGCGGAGCAUGUGGUUUAAUUCGAAGCAACGCGAAGAACCUUACCAGGGCUUGACAUCCCGAUGACCGGUACAGAGAUGUACCUUUCCUUCGGGGCAUUGGAGACAGGUGGUGCAUGGUUGUCGUCAGCUCGUGUCGUGAGAUGUUGGGUUAAGUCCCGCAACGAGCGCAACCCCUAUCCUUAGUUGCCAUCAGUUAAAGCUGGGCACUCUAAAGAGACUGCCGGGGAUAACUCGGAGGAAGGUGGGGAUGACGUCAAAUCAUCAUGCCCCUUAUGUCCUGGGCUACACACGUGCUACAAUGGCCUGUAACAGAGGGAAGCGAAGUCGUAAGGCGGAGCAAAACUCAGAAACCAGGUCCCAGUUCGGAUUGUGGGCUGCAACUCGCCCACAUGAAGUCG
rnacentral:rRNA from 1 species